rnacentral:rRNA from 1 species
ACGGAGGGUGCAAGCGUUGUCCGGAUUUAUUGGGUUUAAAGGGUGCGUAGGUGGAACUGUAAGUCUGAUUUGAAAGCAAGCGGCUUAACCGUUUGAUGUGGUUGGAAACUGUGGUUCUUGAAUGGGUUGGCGGUAGCCGGAAUGGGUCAUGUAGCGGUGAAAUGCAUAGAUAUGACCCGGAACACCGAUUGCGAAGGCAGGCUACUACGACUUGAUUGACACUGAGGCACGAGAGCAUGGGUAGCGAACAGG